rnacentral:rRNA from 1 species
GACGAACGCUGGCGGCGUGCCUAAUACAUGCAAGUUGAGCGAUGAAGAUUGGUGCUUGCACCAAUUUGAAGAGCAGCGAACGGGUGAGUAACGCGUGGGGAAUCUGCCUUUGAGCGGGGGACAACAUUUGGAAACGAAUGCUAAUACCGCAUAACAACUUUAAACAUAAGUUUUAAGUUUGAAAGAUGCAAUUGCAUCACUCAAAGAUGAUCCCGCGUUGUAUUAGCUAGUUGGUGAGGUAAAGGCCCACCAAGGCGAUGAUACAUAGCCGACCUGAGAGGGUGAUCGGCCACAUUGGGACUGGGACAAGGCCCAAACCCCUACGGGAAGCAGCAGUAGGGAAUCUUCGGCCAUGGACGAAAGUCUGACCGCGCAACGCCGCGUGAGUGAAGAAGGUUUUCGGAUCGUAAAACUCUGUUGGUAGAGAAGAACGUUGGUGAGAGUGGAAAGCUCAUCAAGUGACGGUAACUACCCAGAAAGGGACGGCUAACUACGUG